rnacentral:tRNA from 1 species
CAGAAAAUAAUUUAAAUAAAAUAAUAACUUUGGAAGUUAUAAAUAAGACUAAAAACUUUUUUCUGA